UCGAGAGUUGGCAAGCAAACACUACCAGGACCUACCAGAUAAAAUACGUAUUUUCCUUGUUAUAAAUAAGGGGUGAGAAUGCCACUGCAGUGUUAAAAAAUGCAUGGGCGCACCUGUGGGCACGGACGCUCAGCGGUACCGUCAAGGGAGGCCCCUCAGCCCCGCAGCUGCAGCGGGCACGGGCAGCGGCACGGCUCUCUCUGCUCUCUUACCUGGCAGAACCAAGAGGCAGCUUUGCUCUGCCCCUGGGCUGGAGCUGCUCCUCCCCUCAGCAGAGUGCAGGACAGGAGGGUGCUGCUGCAUGUGUGGAAGAAGUGGCAAUCUGCAAUGCUGAGAGGAGCACGAGCUGAAAACAAGGGUUCUGUGGUUUCAUCCUGUAUUGCAACCUUCCAGCUGAAGACCAUCUAAGUCAAAAUACAAGGAACAUAGCCUCAUAUAUCUGAGGCAGAAACUUCUUGCAGUCAUCAUCCUCCAACUGCUUUGAUGUUACAAGAGAUUACAUUAGAAGGGAUGCUGGAAUUAUGCCCACCUCUCCUCCCAGGAUUUUUAAGAGAGAUAUCACCAAAAAUGGUGGGAUGUCAAUAGAAAAUAUCUGUUCUUCAUGUUUUAUGAGUGCUAUGGAU